AUGCUGCUGCUGGCAACACUAGUGGCCUCAGCAGCUUGCCCUUAUGGAUUUGCACAGGAAAUUCCCAUGCAGAGUCCAAUAUCCAUCACCAAAUUCCAAAAAAGAUGUCCAGAUUACAUGUCAAAUUCAAACAUUGGGGGCAAAUUUUGGUGGCAACGUCAUACACUGGUACCUGCAGAAGGAGGGUGAAGCUCCUGAGAGGCUCCUGUACUAUUUCGGAGGAAAAGCUACUGUAGAAAUUGGUUUUCAAUCAAGCAGAUAUAUGGUUGAAACAAUUCCUGGCCAGAACCAGUGUGUUCUUACUAUAAAAGAUGUAAUUCCAGAUGAUGCUGCUACUUAUUACUGCCACUGUGUUAGAAACUCAGAGAUCAUCAAGCCAAAAAAACCACACUCAGCAUCUGAACCACAAUCUUGUAACUGUGCCAUUCCAUGA